AUCUCGAAUGCUCCUUCUUUGCCCGUGUGGAACUCUGUUCUGGGUUCAGGUUGAUGCGUUUUGUGCGUUGUUGGUAUCUGUUGGUUGCAUAUGCUGAAGCUCAAUCUAGUCCAGAAGUUAUAGAACUGAUUUUGUGAAGACGUAAUCUUUUAUCAAGACCAUAACAAAACCCAUACGGAAGCGGUUGAAUGGAUGAAGUUUUUGGGGGGAAGAUUCAGUUCUGAGGAGUCAUGGUUUUUCAUGGAGGCCAUCUCUUAUUCCGAGCACUUCAUGUUGCUCACAGUUGAUUGCAAAGGCUCUAGAUACUUCACCCAUGACCUCAGUCCUGAUAAUUAAUUUGGACUAAUAUGGAAUCUUCUUAUGGUUUAGUGGGUUUAUCGUGUCUCCGAUCCUGUGUAAUUGUUUGAGAUUAUGCCCUUAAACCGUCUAUUGUAGUAGUUAACGACCUUGAAAGUUGAUUAACUCGCAUACGACAACCCGAUAACUCAGUGUAAGUGCUCUUUGCAGAGGGGCUUUUAAUCUCUGGAAAAUGCCCCUUUCCCCCUAGAAAUCUUUGCUGAUGGUUAGGAGCCGAAGACUUGCUCUGAAAUUGUCACCUUAGGAGCUUGUGUUCUUUUUCGGCAGACCUCCAUAGGCCUGAAAGUCUUCAUGUCUAAAUUAGAACCUCAGCCUCCUGCAGACCAUAAACUUUUUAGGGUGGUAGAGUGACAGAGGUCAAAACGAACUCUUAUCCGGGCAUACACAAGUGACCGCAUUGGGUGAUGUUUGACGGGUAAGACGCGAGAAGCAAUUACUUCUAUUUUAAGUUUUCAUACCAUGAAAAUUUAAGAGGGCAUGAGAGCUACGGUGUUUCACCGUUUCCUAUAAGCUUUAAGCUAUACGCUUUCAAAUGGAAUUUCCGUGAUAGUUUCUGUCCGUGCAUCUGUUGUUUUGCUUCCCAGUUCCCUUAGCAUAGCCCUGAUACAACAAUGGUUUCAGUGCUUGCAUUCUAUUGCGGCAUCCGAACUAAGUUGGUGUUUGCCGUGAUUUUUUUCUUUUGAGUUUGGCCUCGGUGUUAAAACUUUUAGAGUCCAAUUUCCAUCUUUUUUGUAAUGCUGAUCAGUGAAAUUACCUUGAAUAGAUUUCUGAGUAUUGAAUAAGUUGAUUGAUUGAGACAUGUAAAUCAAACAGUUCUUCUUGGACUGUCGAUGAGUGCUGGCUAAUUACCAAUGUGUUCUGAACCUGGGUUUGGAUUUCUGACAUUCACAAAAUUUGGAGAAGUUUGUUUACAUUUGGUAUUCGUGAGUUACCGAAGAAGAGGGGUAGAUCAAUUGCAAGCCGUGCCUGUAUUUGGCGGCUGUGCUGACUUGAUAAACCCUGAAGGUCAAAUCCAAUCAGCAAGCAGCA